UAGUUCGGGAUAGCCACUGGAAACGGUGAUUAAUACCGGAUACUCCUUCUUGUUAUAAGACAAGUCGGGAAAGUUUUUCGCUAAGGGAUCAGUCUAUGUUCCAUCAGCUUGUUGGUGAGGUAAUGGCUCACCAAGGCUAUGACGGAUAUCUGGUUUGAGAGGAUGAUCAGACACACUGGAACUGAGACACGGUCCAGACUCCUACGGGAGGCAGCAGUGAGGAAUAUUGCACAAUGGGGGAAACUCUGAUGCAGCAACGCCGCGUGGAGGAUGACGCAUUUCGGUGUGUAAACUCCUUUUAUUAGGGAAGAUAAUGACGGUACCUAAUGAAUAAGCACCGGCUAACUCCGUGCCAGCAGCCGCGGUAAUACGGAGGGUGCAAGCGUUACUCGGAAUCACUGGGCGUAAAGGGUGCGUAGGCUGGCUUUUAAGUCAGAUGUGAAAUCCAAUGGCUCAACCAUUGAACUGCAUUUGAAACUGAAAGCCUAGAGUUCAGAAGGGGCAGAUGGAAUUAGUGGUGUAGGGGUAAAAUCCGUAGAUAUCACUAGGAAUAUCAAAAGCGAAGGCGAUCUGCUGGGAUGAUACU
rnacentral:rRNA from 1 species